rnacentral:lncRNA from 1 species
CAGCGACUUGGCGAGCGCGGCGGCUAGGGGCGGGAUGCGGGAGAUAGCGCCGGCGUGCAGUUGGGCGAAGGGGGAUGCAGCGCAGAGGAUAGGGAUGCGCUCGCAAGCUAGUUGGGCGGAGGGCCGGGCUGACCUGUCACGUCGGUGGCAGGGUUCGGCCGGUGGGAAGCGGCGGUCGGGCGGCACAACAUGCCGGGCGUGGUGAACGCACACGUGCACGCGCUCUCAAACGUGAUGGCGUGCGAGGGCAGCAGCAUUGAGCCGAUUUUGCGAGGGUUUUCAAAUUCAAACUUGAAAAAGUUUCAAACUAAAAGUUGCAGUCCUAACUCCAAACUACAACUCCUAGAAAACUUUAAGUUCAAAUCUGGUUUAAA